GAGAUAGCUGGUUCUCCCCGAAAGCUAUUUAGGUAGCGCCUCGGACGAAUACUACUGGGGGUAGAGCACUGUUUGGGCUAGGGGGUCAUCCCGACUUACCAACCCCAUGCAAACUCCGAAUACCAGUAAGUAAUAUCCGGGAGACACACGGCGGGUGCUAACGUCCGUCGUGAAGAGGGAAACAACCCAGACCGCCGGCUAAGGUCCCAAAGUUCUGGUUAAGUGGGAAACGAUGUGGGAAGGCUCAGACAGCUAGGAUGUUGGC
rnacentral:rRNA from 1 species